rnacentral:rRNA from 1 species
AUUGCCUCAGUAACGGCGAGUGAAGCGGCAACAGCUCAAAUUUGAAAUCUGGCCUCUUUGGGGUCCGAGUUGUAAUUUGUAGAGGAUGUUUCGGGCACCGCUCCGGUUUAAAUUUCUUGGAACAGAAUGUCAAAGAGGGUGAGAACCCCGUCUUGGACCGGCAGUAGGGCCCAUGUGAAACUCCUUCGACGAGUCGAGUUGUUUGGGAAUGCAGCUCAAAAUGGGUGGUAAAUUUCAUCUAAAGCUAAAUAUUGGCCAGAGACCGAUAGCGCACAAGUAGAGUGAUCGAAAGAUGAAAAGCACUUUGAAAAGAGAGUUAAACAGUACGUGAAAUUGUUGAAAGGGAAGCGCUUGCAACCAGACUUGCGCGCGGCGGUUCCCCCUUCCUUUUGGUUGGGUUAUUCCGCCGUGUCCAGGCCAACAUCGGUUCUGGGGGUCGGUUAAAGGCCUGGGGAAUGUAUCUACCCUUCGGGCGUAGACUUAUAGCCCCGGGUGUCAUGCGACCUCCCGGGACCGAGGAACGCGCUUCGGCUCGGAUGUUGGCGUAAUGGUUGUCAGCGACCCGUCUUGAAACACGGACCAAGGAGUCUAACAUCUAUGCGAGUGUUUGGGUGUCAAACCCGGAACGCGGAAUGAAAGUGAACGGAGGUAGGAAGCUUCGGCUGCACUAUCGACCGAUCCUGAUGUCUUCGGAUGGAUUUGAGUAAGAGCAUAGCUGUUGGGACCCGAAAGAUGGUGAACUAUGCCUGAAUAGGGUGAAGCCAGAGGAAACUCUGGUGGAGGCUCGCAGCGGUUCUGACGUGCAAAUCGAUCGUCAAUUUGGGUAUAGGGGCGAAAGACUAAUCGAACCAUUAAAAAGUUACCGGUGGUUAAGUGUAACC